GGAUUGUGGCUCAGUGGUAGAGCACUUGCCUAGCACAUGUGAGGCCCUGGGUUCAAUCCUCAGCACCA
rnacentral:tRNA from 1 species